rnacentral:rRNA from 1 species
CCUACGGGAGGCAGCAGUGGGGAAUUUUCAACAAUGGGGGAAAAACCGAGGCAGAGACGCCCCGUGAGAGAAAAAAGCCUUUUGGUUGAAAAAAUCUGUCUGGAGGGGGGAAAAAAAAGACGGUACCUCCGGAGGAAGCCCCGGCUAAAUACGUGCCAGCAGCCGCGGUAAAACGUAGGGGGGGAGCGUUGUCCGGAAUUACUGGGGGUAAAAGGGGCGCAGGGGGUGUUACAAGUUUGACGUGAAAAACCCUGGGUCAAAUCCGGGAUGUCGUUGGAAAAUGCCUAGCUUGAGAGCAGGAGAGGGAAAAGGAAAAUUCCCUGUGGAGGGGAAAAACGUAGAUAUCUGGAGGAAAACCAGUGGGGAAGAGGGGUUCUUGGGCCGCGUUAGAGGCUGAGGCGCGAAAAAUGGGGGGUAGAAAAGGAUUUGAUACCCCCGGGUAACCCGGCGUAAAAAAAAACGCCAGGUGUGGGGGUAUCGACCCCUCCGUGCCGCUAGCAAACG